rnacentral:rRNA from 1 species
GUGCCAGCAGCCGCGGUAAUACGUAGGUGACAAGCGUUAUCCGGAAUUACUGGGCGUAAAGCGCACGCAGGCGGUAUUGUAAGUCUGAUGUGAAACCUUCUGGCUUAACCAGAAGACGUCGUUGGAUACUGUGAUACUUGAGGCGAUGAGAGGAAUGCGGAAUUCUCGGUGUAAUGGUGGAAUAUGUAGAUAUCGAGAGGAACAUCUGUGGCGAAAGCGGCAUUCUAGCAUUAGCCUGACGCUCAUGUGCGAAAGCGUGGGGAGCAAACGGGAUUAGAUACCCCGGUAGUCCACGCCGUAAACGAUGAAUACUAGGCGUAGGAGGAGUCAAAUCCUUCUGUGCCGAAGCCAACGCAAUAAGUAUUCCGCCUGGGAAGUACGGCCGCAAGGCUAAA